UAAGGAGGAUGCGAGCGUUAUCCGGAUUUAUUGGGUUUAAAGGGUGCGUAGGCGGACUGUCAAGUCAGCGGUAAAAUACGGGGGCUCAACCUCCGCCCGCCGUUGAAACUGACGGUCUUGAGUGCGCGAAGGGUAGGCGGAAUGCGUGGUGUAGCGGUGAAAUGCAUAGAUAUCACGCAGAACUCCGAUCGCGAAGGCAGCCUACCGGCGCGCAACUGACGCUCAUGCACGAAAGCGUGGGGAUCGAACAGG
rnacentral:rRNA from 1 species